GCCUCAUGUUACUAAGGCAGCCCAUGGAAAACAAUUUUUGGUGAGCACAGUGAGCACACUGGAGCAGUGCCCAGAGACGCUGUGGAAUCGCCUUCCUUGGACAUCUUCAAAACUCAGCUGGACAAGCCCUGAGCAACCUGCUUUAACUUUGAAGUUAACUCUACUUCUAGCAGGCAGUAGGACCGGAUAAACUCCAGCCAAUAUCAUGCUGAAAACUUCAGAGACAGGAAUGAGACUCAGAAUCCCAGUGCUUUGUUUGGUCUCUGCUGCUUCAUGCAAGGGUGCAUCCAGCCCCAGGGCAUCCCAGAGCUGGCUGACCCCCGCCGAGGAGAUCUGCUGAUGGAGUUGGAUUUGUCAACUGAGGGAACCUCACACCCCUGCCGUUUGUUGAGAGGGAAACAUACCUUCCACAAGAUGAUUCUUACUCUGUGAUUUACCGUUGGUCUCAUUCAGCUUCCACGGACCUCAGUAGAAACAGGACCACACCAGCCUUCCCACAAAAUCUGCUUUCUGGCUGCAUUCACAGUUCUAACUUUUAUUAAGUAUUUGUGGGAGCAAUUUUUCACCAGUAAACUCCUGCUAUUCACGUAAGAAAAAAAAAAGGAAGGGAGGUAUGUUUGAAAAAGGAUGAUUUUUUUCUGUUUUUUUUUUUAAAUUUUAAAUCAGGUACCUUUAAACAAAGCAGAGAAUUUCAUAUGCUCCAUUCCAGCUUUCUGAAUCUUUCCAAAAGGUGAUUACGAACACAUUUCUGAGGUUUUUUUCCUCCA
rnacentral:lncRNA from 1 species